rnacentral:rRNA from 1 species
GACGAACCGUGCGAACGUUGUUCGGAAUCACUGGGCCUAAAGGGCGCGUAGGCGGCUUAUCAAGUCAGGGGUGAAAUCCGGCAGCUCAACUCCAGAACUGCCUUCGAUACUGAGAGUCUCGAGUCCGGGAGAGGUGAGUGGAACUGCGAGUGUAGAGGUGAAAUUCGUAGAUAUUCGCAAGAACACCAGUGGCGAAGGCGGCUCACUGGCCCGGUACUGACGCUGAGGUGCGAAAGCGUGGGGAGCAAACAGG